GCAGUGGUGGUUCAGUUGUAGAAUCCUCACCUUCCAUGCGGGAGACCAGGGUUUGAAUCCUGGCCAGUACA
rnacentral:tRNA from 1 species